UGUGGCUAGAAUGGGAUGUUUUGAAUCUUCUGUUACAACCUUGGGAACGUGGCUGUUAUUUCAAUUUAUGAGCCAGAAAUUUUCACAUCCCGAAACUACAAAAGAGAAAAAGAGCCUUAUUAAGUGUCAUGCUUUCCCAAGACUACCUUCAAAGAAAUAUGAAUCAGGAUAACCUGUGAUCUAAAUAAUGUCAUCUUAAAACUGAAGAGUUUCUUUUGACUCUUCUGCUACAAUAGCUUAGAAAAAAAUCUGCUUGCAGACAUUUUAGAGAGAAAGGACAAUGAAGUGAUUUUCUGAAUGGGAAUGACAGACCUCUGGGAAGCCAGCUACCACUGAAUCUCGGUAUCAGUUUUUUUUAAAGUUUAGAGUUAGAAGGGGUGGUCGCCUCCUUUCACAGAUGCGGAAGCUAGGGACCAGCAAGGCGGGGUGCCCACGGCUGCACAGCUAGUUCAUAUCAGAAUUGGGAGUGGAAGGCCCACUGCCUCCCAGCAUAGCAAUACAUAACCUAGCAAAGGACUUAACACCUAUCUCACUGUCAGGUUUUUUAGUAUUUUAUGAUGAUGAUGACUUCUACUAGAAAAUAACCUCCAUUAAAAUUAUUAAAGAUGGUCACACCUCUAUCUCUAAGCCUUACUUAUAAAAUGAGGGUAUUUGGACUAAAGUCUUCUUCCAGUUCUAGAAUUCUACAACUCAUUAAAAAGCCACCUUAAAAAGUCUACUGAGUUACCCAAGGGUUGCUCCUACCUGCCCAGAGUUCCACCAGCCUGGGUAUAGUAUUUGUUAUAAUCUAGUCGUAACAGUAGUUGAGCCAAAUCUGAGUUGAUCUGAUGAUUCCGAACACUGGAGAGAAUCUUGAACAGGAGUGAAGACUGGCGGCUAAAGCCCUGCAGAGAGAAGGACUCAGCUGUCAUUCCACUUCAGCUCACCAACUCUCCAUAUGGAGGAUGGGGGCGGAGGGAGGAGUUUCUUGGAAAAGCCUUGUUCAAAAUUCUACAGAACCACCUGGCCUUCCCACAUUCCUAUUUCUAUUAGUUCCUAAAAUGACUUGUACCAAAUCCAUACAUGCAUGACUUCCUAUGAAAGUACUCUUUCAUCAGUAGGAAUUUAGUAGCUGGUUUCCAGUUAAUGUAUUUUGUCAAGUACUGGGGUUGGGGAGAACCCGUUUUGAUUACAAGCAGAUAAUUAUCUCAGUGAGAUGGGGGUUAGUUCAAGGAAGUAAGGAGGGGGGAGGAUGUGAGGAAGUUAGAACAACCCAAUGCUUAUUUGAUGGGCUGAAUAAACUAUUCAGGACUGAACUAUUUUUGAGCACUGUGAGGUGGCACAGUAUUACCUGCUUCAAAAUCAACUGAUACCAACAUUUUUAUCUUUGUAUCUUAUCUCUGUACGUGUGUGUAUUGAGGAAAUGCUUUACUGACUCAGAGGAAAGAUCAUGAAUUCUCCAUUGGCAAAACCACCUCUGUCCUUUCGGCAAGGCUGCAUACUUCCAGGCAGACGCACCUUCACGAGAAUGCUCAGCUGGGCGGCUCCACGCUCAUCCAGUGGGCCU
rnacentral:lncRNA from 1 species